ensembl:lncRNA
AAAAUUUGCUAAUGAACUAUUCCACUCCAACUCUCAUUUUCUGACUGUUUUGAUUCAAAUGUUGCAAAUAUCUGAUUGGUGACAGGAAAUACGUGACAUCCCAAGUCCAGCCCACUUGUGAGCGAGAAGAGACGUGACAAAUGUGGACAUUUCUAAAAGCAAAAUGAAGCCCCGGUGAUCAACCAAAGGCAAAACAAGCUUAAUGCAAACUUCAAGACUCGGUGAAACUGAAUCCAACGCCGACUGCAUUCAGCGUCGCAUCCUUCCCAUUCUGAUCGGUAUCUCUGCUGGUCGUAAGUGCGGCGGCGGCCGUAAAACACGGGACUGCACGGGGGGGGGGGGGUCUGCAACUGCACUGCCCCUGCAAAACAGAGACAGAAGAUGAUCGGGUAGCGAUACGAGUGUGAGCUAACGUUAGUUUCAUAAUGCAAGUAUGACUUUCAACUUUGCAAAUGAGCCUCUUCUUUCAGUAUGAGUUGUGGAAACGUUCGUUGUAGAUUUGCUGCUAAAGUCAGAUAACAGCGAAGAGAGAAAAACACAUUUGUGUUUAUUGUGGAGGCCGAGUUUGGAAUGACAAGACAAAUGUGCAGGUGGGUAUUGGUUAGUUUAUCUGAUAAAACAGGUUAAAAGAAGACAAAUACCGAACAAAGAAAGAAAUCAUCCUUUAAGCCGUUCCGUGUGUGACCACAAAGGCCCAAUUCAAUAUUUAUUUUCUUAGAUGAUCAUUGGCAUUAAAUAACAUGCAACCGUGCAGUUUUCCCACGUUUGUUAGUUUUAAAGCGCGACUAUGGAGUAACACAACCCCUUUUCAGUCAAAUACCGCCGCCUAGUCCGCAGGAGACGCACCGGCCUACGAACCAAAUGCUCACUAAUCGGAAAGCAACGGGACGUUUCCUGUGAACACGGAUACUUUACGCGCAUGCGUGUAACGUAACGAGAGGUCACGGACGCGUAAUCCCUUCCCUUCCCACUACGAGCGCCUCCAAAGCGCCGCAAACUGUGGCACCCAAAGCUUCUGUACGAGUCUCCCUGGACUCUUCGCAUUCAGUGGAACUGAGCUCCCCUUUUUUGAAUUCAGCCCGACGCCAUCGCCGCUACGUGUCUGCGCGUGCGCGUCCGCAGGGGAAAGUCACUGUGGAAUGCCUGUAUGCACAACGUGAGUCCAGUCGCCUCAAACGACAACCCCCCCCCCGAGGGAUAGCUGUAAGUGGAACCAAGUUAUUUAUUACUUGUCAGGAGUUGUUGUUGGAGCGAAACAAGCCAUUAUUGUCUGAAGGGGCCUUUUCAAUACACAUAUACAUUAAAAGAAGGGUUCGGGUAAUGGCGCCAGAGGUAAACAUUGCCUGCAAUUUCUAUUAGUUGUUGCCAAAAGGUUCUUUUACCGGAAUCUGCUGCAGAAACGGCAGCCGACUGGCGUCACGUUCUGUCACAAAAGGAGGAUCUUAGAUCCCAGCUGGUCUUCGGUGGGAUAAUGCACCACUGUUUUCAAUUUAUCGAGUAAUAACAAAAGAUAAAUUCUUAAAUAAAAACAGGGAAAUAUGGAAACACUA